GAUGAACGCUAGCUACAGGCUUAACACAUGCAAGUCGCGGGGCAGCAUGGGGGUGGCUUGCAACCCCGAAGGGCGACCGGGGCAGGGGGUGGUAAGCCUGAUCAACCGGCCCCUUCCCCCCGGGCAACCCGGGCCAAGGUGGGACUAGUACCAGAGGUUGUCCGUUGCGGGAAUCGAAUUGGAACGAAAGCUUUGGAGGGGAAGACUGGGGAUGCGUCCGAUUAGCUGGACGGCGGGGUGACGGCCCACCGUGGCGACGAUCGGUAGGGGUUCUGAGAGGAAGGUCCCUCACACUGGAACUGAGACACGGUCCAGACUCCUACGGGAGGCAGCAGUGAGGAAUAUUGGUCAAUGGGCGUAAGCCUGAACCACCCAAGUAGCGUUCAGGAUGUCGGCCCUAUGGGUUGUAAACUGCUUUUAUGCGGGGAUAAAGUGGCCCUCGUGUGGGUUUUUGCAGGUACCGCAUUAAUAAGGACCGGCUAAUUCCGUG
rnacentral:rRNA from 1 species